AUGCUUCCCACCAUGACAAUGGACUAAAACUCUGAAACUCAGUUACGAUUCACCUAACACAGAUGUGCUGGCAACCAAGUGCUCUACCAAUGAAGACACAGAAAUUCUCUGGCACCAUUAAAAAAAAAUCAUUUUAAAGGCUGCUGUAAAGUGAACAAGCCUCUUCUAUCACACAUUCCUGCUAUGAUGUACUAUGCUGCUACAGACCAAAAGAAAAUGGGGUAAACCAACCACCAGCUGAAACCUCUAAAAUUGUGAGUCAAAAUAAAGUUCUGCAC